rnacentral:rRNA from 1 species
AACGAACGCUGGCGGCAGGCCUAAUACAUGCAAGUCGAACGGUGUCUUCGGACAUAGUGGCGCACGGGUGCGUAACACGUAUGCAACCUACCUUACAUUGGGGGAUAGCCUUUCGAAAGGGAGAUUAAUACCGCAUAAGACAGUAGCUGGGCAUCCAGCAGCCGUUAAAGAUUUAUCGAUGUAAGCUGGGCAUGCGUCCAAUUAGCUAGUUGGUGAGGUAACGGCUCACCAAGGCAAUGAUUGGUAGGGGAACUGAGAGGUCAAUCCCCCACACUGGCACUGAGAUACGGGCCAGACUCCUACGGGAGGCAGCAGUAGGGAAUAUUGGUCAAUGGACGAAAGUCUGAACCAGCUAUGCCGCGUGCAGGAUGAAGGCCUUCGGGUUGUAAACUGCUUUUGUACGGAACGAAAAGACUCUUUCUAAUAAAGAGGGUCCAUGACGGUACCGUAAGAAUAAGCACCGGCUAACUACGUGCCAGCAGCCGCGGUAACAC